AGGGUCCUUAAGCCAUCUAGAAGCAUAAAAAUAGGAUCUUGGUGGUAGUCUUGACCUUGAGCAUGAGUUAAAGACCUUAGGAAGGUCUUGAUGAUGGUUUUGGAGGUAUAAGGAACAUGCAAAGACAUAAAGUUAGCAACUUUAUGCCUUAGGACGUGUUAAAGAACCCAAUUCUAGCUCUUGGACAUAAAAGAAUGGGAUAUUAGCACUUAAUUGGGAAAGUGCUUAACUCGGGCGAACGCCGAGCGUACUCUGUGUAUGCUGCGCGUAGCCUUUGAGAGCCCAGUACGCGACGCGUACCAAAUAGGUACGCUAAGCGUACACAAGGCAGAUUGGGCCGUUUCUGUUUUGGGGCUGGCGACUUUUGGGCCUCAUCUUGGUUAUUGGGUUGACUGCAUUCUGUGAAUAUUGGGCUAUAUCUUUGGAUUUGGGUCAUGGACUAUUGUGAGGGCCUUAUUAGGCCAAGAGGCCCAUUAGUAAUUUUUCACUUGGACUUUGGGCCCAUUAUCAAAGGAUGAUUAAUUGGGCCGCAUGAAUAGGGUUAGGGUUUGGGCCUUUCCCUCUUGAUUAAUUUAAGAAUCUAAUAUUAUUUAAUACUAUUAUCCAGCACGUGAGAUUUCCGGAUUAUUAGGAGAGUAACUUUGGUUUUCGGCAAACGGAGGUGAGUCUCCUCACCAUACCCAUGGGUCUAAGGCACCAAGGCCGAACCAUUAUAUGAGAUGUGAUACGUGUUAGCCAUUCUGUGAAACUAUGUGCUUGUGAUUAUGUUGGUAUGGAAGAACUCGGGAGCUGCCCGAUCAUUUGUGUCUCUUGCGCUUAACAAGAAAUUCCAGGAUACACCAGGGACUUUAGGUUCCCCGCUUGAGGUUGAAAUUGUAGACGAUCGCACCGUGAGUGCUGCUAGGGUGUAUCGAGACUAUGUUCUGAAUAUGCAUGGCGAAAGUUUCCACGUCGAUUUAGUCCCGAUACCGUUGCGAGGAUCGAAGGUGAUUAUCGGUAUGGAUUGGUUGGGAGCUCACGGGGUCAUGAUAGAUUGGGAGCGCCAGUCAAUCAGUGUUUGAACCCCAUGUGGGGGAGAACUAGUUAUACAUGGGGAAAAGGCCUCGCAAGGACCAAUCCUCUGUUCGGCGACACGGGCUAGGAGGUUUUUGCAGCAGGGCUGCACGGGAUUGUUGGCUUAUGUCUCGGAUACGAGGGUGGAGACAGUAAUAGAUGUGGGCAGUAUGCCGGUGGUACAAGAGUAUCGGGAAGUUUUUCCCGAAGAGUUACCAGGAGUGCCUUCGGAGAGGCAAGUAGAGUUCCGCAUCGAUUUGGUGCCGGGUACCGCCCCGAUAGCGAAGGCACCAUAUCGAUUAGCGCCUCCGGAGAUGCAGGAGUUAUCUACGCAACUCCAGAAGUUGCUAGACCGAGAGUUCAUCCGUCCGAGUAGCUCUCCUUGGGGAGCACCAAUUCUGUUUGUGAAAAAGAAGGACAGGUCUCAUAGAAUGUGCAUCGAUUAUAGGGAGCUGAACAAGAUAACGGUGAAGAACCGUUACCCUUUACCCAUGAUUGAUGAUUUGUUUGACCAACUUCAAGGUGCAUCUUGGUUCUCCAAGAUAGAUCUUCGGUCCGGAUAUCAACAGAUGAGGAUUCGGGAUGAGGAUAUACCGAAGAUAGUGUAUAGGACCCGAUAUGGGCAUUAUGAGUUUGUAGUGAUGCCGUUUGGGUUCACCAAUGCCCCCGCAUCAUUCAUGGAUCUCAUGAACCGGGAAUGUAGAACAAUGUUGGAUUAGUUAGUGAUCGUUUUUAUAGAUGACAUUCUGGUCUAUUCCAAGAUCAAGGAGCAGCAUGAGCAGCAUCUGAGGGAGGUAUUAGAGAUUCUGAGGGCAGAGAAACUUUAUGCGAAGUUCUCCAAGUGUGAGUUUUGGUUGCGGGAAGUUCAGUUUUUGGGGCAUGUCAUUAAUGAAGAUGGAAUUUCGAUUGACCUAGCCAUGGUAGAGGCGGUGAUGCGAUGGGAAGUACCAAGGAAUGCAUCAGAAAUCCAUAGUUUCUUGGGCCUAGCGGGUUAUUAUCGGAGAUUUAUCCAGGACUUUUCCAAGGUAGCAGUGCCAUUGACCCGCUUAACCAAGAAAAAUGUCACCUUUCAGUGGGGUGAGGAUCAAUAGAUAGCAUUUUAGACCCUAAGGAGGAGGUUAUGUGAAGCUCCAGUCUUAGUUCUAACGGAGGGAUUGGGUGAUUUAGUGGUAUAUUGCGACGCAUCAAUCUCGGGCUUGGGGGCGGUGCUGAUGCAAAGGGGGCAUGUGAUUGCCUACGCCUCGAGGCAGUUGAAGCCUCAUGAGGCAAAUUAUCCUACGCAUGACUUGGAGUUGGGAGCAGUGGUUUUUGCUCUCAAGUUAUGGAGGCAUUAUUUGUAUGGAGUACGGUUCUCUAUCUAUACCGACCACAAGAGUCUGAAGUAUUUGAUGGACCAGCAGAACCUCAACAUGCGUCAGCGGAGAUGGCUAGAUGUACUAAAGGAUUAUGAUUGCGAGAUUUUAUACCAUCCAGGAAAGGCCAACGUGGUGGUAGAUGCCUUGAGCCGCAACGCAGCAGGAUCCCCGAUCAGGGACAUUUGUCUGAGGAUGACUGUGUCUUCCCCAUUGUUGGAUAUGAUCAGGGAGGCUCAGGUCGAUGGGGGUAAAGAAAGAAAAUUGGAAAAUAGAGAGAAUUCGGGGGGCAAUAUCCUUUGUUUGUAAAAGACAGUCGUGGCCUUUUGACGCAGUGUGGACGGGUAUGGGUACCCGUGUCUGGGGGAGUAAGGCAGAGACUGUUAGAGGAGGCGCACAAUUCGAAGUUCUCUAUACACCCAGGGGCUACAAAGAUGUAUAAAGAUUUGAGACUGAGUUACUGGUGGCCCUGCAUGAAGCGGGAGAUCGCCGGGUUCGUGGAGCGAUGCUUGACCUGCAGGAAGGUCAAGGCCAAGCAUCAGCGGCCUCAUGGGAAGGUCCAACCGCUGCCCUUUCCUAUGUGGAAAUGGGAGGAGAUUACCAUGGAUUUCAUUACAAGGAUUCCAAAGACGGUGAGAGGUGUGGAUGCCAUUUGGGUUAUCGUGGACAGAUUGACGAAGAGUUCCCAUUUCAUUCUGAUUUCUGAGGACAUAUCCGCAGAGAAGCUGGCAUAUAUUUAUGUUAGGGAGGUGGUGGCUAGGCACGGGGUGCCCGUAUCAGUGGUUUCGGAUAGGGAUGUACGGUUUACAUCUAGGUUUUGGAAGAGGUUGCACGAGGAACUAGGCACUCGACUACAUUUCAGCAAGGCAUACCAUCCUCAGACCGAUGGCCAGAGUGAGAGGACAAUCCAGAAGCUGGACGAUAUGCUCCGUGCCUGCGUGUUGGACUUUGGAGGAAGUUGGGAUUCGUAUCUCCCACUGGCAGAGUUUUCGUACAAUAAUAGUUAUCAUACUAGUAUUGAUCGGGCCACUUUCGAAAUGUUGUAUGGUCGGAGGUGUAGGACUCCGAUGUGUUGGGAUGAGGUUGGACACCGAGUCAUGGGGAGCACGGAAGUAGUGCUCAAGACGACUGGAUUGAUUCAGCAGGUGCAGGAGCGAUUGCGAGUCGCUCAGAGUCUUCAUAAAAUUUAUGUUGAUCGUCGUCGAUCAGACCUGGAAUUUCAAGUGGGGGACUUCGUAUUGCUGAAGGUGUCGCCCAAGAAAGGGGUCAUCAGAUCUCGCAAGCGGGGCAAGUUGGGCCCUCGGUUUAUAGGCCCGUUCAGGAUCACGACCCGAGUUGGCAAGGUGGCUUAUCGUCUAGAACUGCCGGAGGAGCUUGGCCAGAUUCACGACACCUUCUAUAUGUCUCAGCUUCAAAAGUGUGUUGCUGAUGAGUCUGCAAUUAUAUCCUUAGAUGACAUUCAGGUGGAUGGAAGUUUGAAUUAAGUAGAGAGACCAGUCGCCAUCAUAGAUCGGAAGAUGAAGGGUCUACGGAACAAGGAGGUGAAGUUGGUAAAAGUGCAAUGGCAGCACCAAAGGGGCUCUGAAUGGACUUGGGAGCCAGAGGAGGAGAUGCGGGAGCACUACCCGGAGCUAUUUGCAGCUGCAGACUUCGAGGGCAAAGUCUAGUCCAAGUGGGGGAGAGUUGUUACAUCCAAAAUAAAAAUAAGUAUGUCUUGGAACCUUUGAAUAAUUUUUUUUGACAUAAAUGGUCCCUUAGUACGCUGGGCGUACUUAAGUGUACGCUUAGCAUACUACGUCCCUUUCUGGUCACGGGUGGUUGGGGGUACGUUGGGCGUACCAUGAGCUACGCAGGGCAUACACACCAGAGAAGCAAAACCCUAAUUCUCGGACUUGAGGCCUAUAUAAACGACUUUAAGCUCCUUGGAGUGAACCCUAGAGAGCCUCCACUGCAUGUAAUGUUAUUAAACCUCUCGAAACCUUGAGAGAGCACCUUUGAGCCUUUUAAGUGUGUGUAUGUGUGGUCUUUAGUGCCCAUUUCAAGAGGAGGAGUUGGUAAAGCAAGCAUGGAUCAAGUGGGUGUUUCUGGAUCUUUCAUCACAAUCAUCUUUCAGAGCUUUUGGAGGUAAAAAUCUUGCAUCUUUCCUCUUAUUUCUUUAGAUCUUGCUAGGGUUUUGUAGUUGGUCCCUUUGUUGAGCCUUGGACCUCAUUUGUUGGGUUGGUCAUCCCCAUUUGUUUAGAAAGUCAGAUCUAGGGUCCUUAAUCCAUCUAGAAGCAUACAAAUAGGAUCUUGGUGGUAUUCUUGACCUUGAGCAUGAGUUAAAGACCUUGGGAAGGUCUUGAUGAUGGUUUUGGAGGUAUAAGGAACAUGCAAAUACAUAAAGGUAGCAACUUUAUGCCUUAGGACGUGUUAAAGAACCCAGAUCUAGCUCUUGGACGUAAAAGAAUGGGAUAUUAUCACUUAAUGGGGAAAGUGCUUAACUUGGGCGAACGUCGAGCGUACUCAGUGUACGUUGUGCGUAGCCUUUGAGAGCCUAGUACGCGGCGCGUACCAAAGAGGUACGCUGAGCGUACACAUGGCAGAUUGGGUCGUUUCUGUUUUGGGGCUGUCGACUUUUGGGCCUCAUCUUGGUUAUUGGGUUGACUGCAUUCUGUGAAUAUUGGGCUAUAUCUUUGGAUUUGGGUCAUGGUCUUUUGGGAGGGCCUUAUUGGGCCAAGAGGCCCAUUAGUAAUUUUGGACUUGGACUUUGGGCCCAUUAU
rnacentral:lncRNA from 1 species